rnacentral:rRNA from 1 species
AGUGAACGCUGGCGGUAGGCCUAACACAUGCAAGUCGAACGGCAGCACAGUAAGAGCUUGCUCUUACGGGUGGCGAGUGGCGGACGGGUGAGGAAUACAUCGGAAUCUACUUUUUCGUGGGGGAUAACGUAGGGAAACUUACGCUAAUACCGCAUACGACCUACGGGUGAAAGCAGGGGAUCUUCGGACCUUGCGCGAUUGAAUGAGCCGAUGUCGGAUUAGCUAGUUGGCGGGGUAAAGGCCCACCAAGGCGACGAUCCGUAGCUGGUCUGAGAGGAUGAUCAGCCACACUGGAACUGAGACACGGUCCAGACUCCUACGGGAGGCAGCAGUGGGGAAUAUUGGACAAUGGGCGCAAGCCUGGUCCAGCCAUACCGCGUGGGUGAAGAAGGCCUUCGGGUUGUAAAGCCAUUUUGUUGGGAAAGAAAAGCAGCAGGUUAAUAACCCGCUGUUCUGACGGUACCCAAAGAAUAAGCACCGGCUAACUUCGUG